AGCUCCAAUAGCGUAUAUUAAAGUUGCUGCAGUUAAAAAGCUCGUAGUUGCAUUUCCGAGGCAAGGGAUUAGUCCGACCUUUGGUGGGUAUUUAAUCCUCUUGCCUCGUCCUUGAGUGGUGCUUCUUGGUAUUAAGUUAUCGAGGAGAUAGCCGCUCAUCGUUUACUGUGAGAAAAUUAGAGUGUUCAAAGCAGGCUUAUGCCGUUGAAUAUAUUAGCAUGGAAUAAUAAGAUAGGACCUCGGGACUAUUGUGUUGGUUUGAGAACCAAGGUAAUGAUGAAUAGGGACAGUUGGGGGUAUUCGUAUUCAGUUGUCAGAGGUGAAAUUCUUAGAUUUACGGAAGACGAACUACUGCGAAAGCAUUUACCAAGGAUGUUUUCA
rnacentral:rRNA from 1 species